rnacentral:rRNA from 1 species
GCACCACCGGCGGACGGCUCAGUAACACGUCGGUAACCUACCCUCGGGAGGGGGAUAACCCCGGGAAACUGGGGCUAAUACCCCAUAGGCCUGAGGUACUGGAAGGUCCCCAGGCCGAAAGGGACUUAUGUCCGCCCGAGGAUGGGCCGGCGGCCGAUUAGGUAGUUGGUGGGGUAAUGGCCCACCAAGCCGAAGAUCGGUACGGACUGUGAGAGCAGGAGCCCGGAGAUGGACACUGAGACACGGGUCCAGGCCCUACGGGGCGCAGCAGGCGCGAAACCUCCGCAAUGCGGGAAACCGCGACGGGGGGACCCCGAGUGCCGUGGCAACGCCACGGCUUUUCCGGAGUGUAAAAAGCUCCGGGAAUAAGGGCUGGGCAAGGCCGGUGGCAGCCGCCGCGGUAAUACCGGCGGCCCGAGUGGUGGCCGCUAUUAUUGGGCCUAAAGCGUCCGUAGCCGGGCCCGUAAGUCCCUGGCGAAAUCCCACGGCUCAACCGUGGGGCUUGCUGGGGAUACUGCGGGUCUUGGGACCGGGAGAGGCGGGGGGUACCCCUGGGGUAGGGGUGAAAUCCUAUAAUCCCAGGGGGACCGCCAGUGGCGA